rnacentral:rRNA from 1 species
CAGUAGCCGCGGUAAUACGUAGGUGGCAAGCGUUGUCCGGAAUUAUUGGGCGUAAAGGGCUCGCAGGCGGUUUAUUAAGUCUGAUGUGAAAGCCCCCGGCUCAACCGGGGAGGGUCAUUGGAAACUGGGAAACUUGAGUGCAGAAGAGGAGAGUGGAAUUCCACGUGUAGCGGUGAAAUGCGUAGAGAUGUGGAGGAACACCAGUGGCGAAGGCGACUCUCUGGUCUGUAACUGACGCUGAGGAGCGAAAGCGUGGGGAGCGAACAGGAUUAGAUACCCGUGUAGUCCCUGUCUCUUAUAC